rnacentral:lncRNA from 1 species
AUUUCAUUGUUUGUUCAUUUUACGUGGUGCUGAGGGUAAACCCAGUGCCUCACACGUACCAUCAUUGUAUCACUGAGCCACAAUCCCAACCAGCCCCUCAAUUGACUCUUGACUUUUGUAUUUCAUAACAGGGUACCUCUUUGAAUCUAAGCUUCCCUUGAAACUUUAUGUUAAGUUUUUCCCUCUCUUUUCUAUUUUUUUCCCCCCGUGGUUCUGGGGACGAAACCCAAGGCAUUUCACUUGGAACAAGUGCUCCACCAGUGAGCCUCACCCCAACCCCCAUAUUUAUUUAUUUAACUCAAACUAGAUUCAUGGCUUAAUUGAAUUUAUGAUGAGCUCUCAGCUCUGAGAAAGUCUUUAGCUGGGGCUGCUUUGACUUCAGGACCUGCUGCUGCUGCACACCAUUCAGGAGCAUUGCUGGUGCAGAUUGCUGUGCUGUCCUUUCACAGUCACCUUGUCCCCCAAGGAAAAUCAGUCCAAGAGGGAAAGUCUGGCCUCUUGCUCUGAAGGUAGAAGGCCAGGGAACAGUUUUGUUUUGAUUCGAAACUAUUACUUCAAAAUCUGAAUGGAAAUUGUUCAGAAAUAGUGGCUUUUCCUGAAAUUGGGUUAGCCAGUGCAGGAGUUCUUGGUGGUAAUUCUUUCAGACAGUUCUCCUCCCCUAGCUCUGGAGCCUUGUCCCUCUCCUGAUUCCUCGGUGUAUGCUGGGCACAGGUGAUCUCCAUCCCUUUCCUUUGCUUGAUCGAUGGUUCCUCUCCCUGUCCUGUGAACUUGGAGCUUGUAUCUGGGGUUUCUAUCACAGUUGUGGUUCCACCCUGAGGACCAGAUGCCAUGGUGGGGGGCUGUAUGUGGCGCAGUGGUGGGUGCCUGCUUUGCAUGCGCAAGGCCCAGGUUUCAUUUGCACACUGCAAAAAACAAAAAAAAGCAGAAACUUCCUUUGUAACCGUUCUGCCACUUUGUAUGAAUCCUAAUUUUUUGACUUACAUUAGAUUUGGGAUCCACAGAAAGAGCAGUUUUUGUUGCUGCUCAAAGUAUGUGAGAUGAAAUGCCAAGGCAGUCAUUGUUUUAAAGUAGAUGCACUGGUAGCUUUCUGGUUGUGGAGAUGCUUGCUCAUAUCACUGUGUGCAUAGGGAACAGUAGUAUGAGGACGUUCCUUUUUGAGAAAAUAUGAUUUAACUGGUAGAGAGAAGAACCAGGAAAAUCCUUGGGUACUUUUCACUGGUGUACUAGAAAUCCUGAAAACAUUUUUUUUUUUGUUUAAAAGAAAAUUAAGGGGGUGCUGGGGCUGUGGCUCAGCAGUAGUGCACUUUCCUGGCAUGUGUGAGGCACUGGGUUCGAUUCUCAGUACUGCAUAUAAAUAAGUAAAAUAAAG